rnacentral:rRNA from 1 species
UGGGGAAUUUUGGACAAUGGGCGCAAGCCUGAUCCAGCCAUGCCGCGUGCAGGAUGAAGGCCUUCGGGUUGUAAACUGCUUUUGUACGGAACGAAAAGACUCUUUCUAAUAAAGAGGGUCCAUGACGGUACCGUAAGAAUAAGCACCGGCUAACUACGUGCCAGCAGCCGCGGUAAUACGUAGGGUGCAAGCGUUAAUCGGAAUUACUGGGCGUAAAGCGUGCGCAGGCGGUUAUGUAAGACAGAUGUGAAAUCCCCGGGCUCAACCUGGGAACUGCAUUUGUGACUGCAUAGCUAGAGUACGGCAGAGGGGGAUGGAAUUCCGCGUGUAGCAGUGAAAUGCGUAGAUAUGCGGAGGAACACCGAUGGCGAAGGCAAUCCCCUGGGCCUGUACUGACGCUCAUGCACGAAAGCGUGGGGAGCAAACAGG